GAUGAAGAACGUAGCGAAAUGUGAUACUUGGUGUGAAUUGCAGAAUCCCGUGAACCAUCGAGUCUUUGAACGCAAGUUGCGCCCGAAGCCACUAGGCCGAGGGCACGCCUGCCUGGGCGUCACACGCCGUUGCCCCCCCAUCUACUCCUUCGGGAUUGCGGGGGGGCGGAUGAUGGCCUCCCGUGCGCCUAGCCGCGCGGUUGGCAUAAAUACCAAGUCCUCGGCGACGCACGCCACGACAAUCGGUGGUUGCGAAACCUCGGUUGCCCGUCGUGUGCGUUCGUCGCGCAUCGAGGGCUCGAAAAAAUGCUCGGCUCCGGCUGGGCUUUCAACGCGACCCCAGGUCAGGCGGGGUUACCCGCUGAAUUUAAGCAAAUCAAUAAGCGGAGGA
rnacentral:misc_RNA from 1 species